CCUACGGGUGGCUGCAGUGGGGAAUAUUGGACAAUGGGGGGAACCCUGAUCCAGCCAUGCCGCGUGUGUGAAGAAGGCCCUCGGGUUGUAAAGCACUUUCAGUGAGGAAGAACGCCUGGUGGUUAAUACCCACCAGGAAAGACAUCACCCACAGAAGAAGCACCGCCUAACUCCGUGCCAGCAGCCGCGGUAAUACGGAGGGUGCGAGCGUUAAUCGGAAUUACUGGGCGUAAAGCGCGCGUAGGUGGCUUGAUAAGCCGGUUGUGAAAGCCCCGGGCUCAACCUGGGAACGGCAUCCGGAACUGUCAAGCUAGAGUGCAGGAGAGGAAGGUAGAAUUCCCGGUGUAGCGGUGAAAUGCGUAGAGAUCGGGAGGAAUACCAGUGGCGAAGGCGGCCUUCUGGACUGACACUGACACUGAGGUGCGAAAGCGUGGGUAGCAAACAGGAUUAGAUACCCUAGUAGUC
rnacentral:rRNA from 1 species